CCCCUCUCAGGCUCGCACCUGGAGAGUGUCUAGGACUCUACCAGUCUCUGCUACGGGAGGGAGAGUCAAGCAAAGGCCUACCCGUUCCAUUCCUAGCUUGGCCAGUGGCUGGCGAGUGGAAGGCCAUCUGCAACAUGU